rnacentral:pre_miRNA from 1 species
CAUAUACUCCCUCCGUUCCAAAUUACUUGUCGCAGGUAUGGAUGUAUCUAGAUGUAUUUUAGUUCUAGAUACAUCCAUUUCUGCGACGAGUAAUUUGGAACUGAGGGAGUAGUAA